UUCGACCUGAGCUCAGGCAAGAGCACCCG
rnacentral:rRNA from 1 species